GAUCACAGUGAUGACUAUAUAAAAUUCAAGCUCAACAGACCGGAAUGCAGGGUUCCUCUCUUUCUUAUAAGAGGCUACUUUGCGUGUCGAUAGUCCCGCUCAACUGAGUGAUC